CUGCGAGUGAAGCGGGAAAAGCUCAAAUUUGAAAUCUGGCGGUCUCUGGCCGUCCGAGUUGUAAUCUAGAGAAGUGUUACCCGCGCUGGACCGUGUACAAGUCUCCUGGAAUGGAGCGUCAUAGAGGGUGAGAAUCCCGUCUCUGACACGGACUCCCAUGGCUUUGUGGUAUGCUCUCAAAGAGUCUAGUUGUUUGGGAAUGCAGCUCAAAAUGGGUGGUAAAUUCCAUCUAAAGCUAAAUAUUGGCGAGAGACCGAUAGCGAACAAGUACCGUGAGGGAAAGAUGAAAAGAACUUUGGAAAGAGAGUUAAACAGUACGUGAAAUUGCUGAAAGGGAAACGCUUGAAGUCAGUCGCGUUGACUGGGGAUCAGCCUCGCUUUUGCGUGGUGUACUUUCUGGUUGAUGGGUCAGUAUCAAUUUUGAUUGCUGGAAAAAGGCUUGAGAAAUGUGGCAGCUCCGGCUGUGUUAUAGUCUCUUGUCACAUACAGCAGUUGGGAUUGAGGAAUUCAGCACGCCGCAAGGCCGGGUUUCGACCACGUUCGUGCUUAGGAUACUGGCAUAAUGGCUUUAAGCGACCCGUCUUGAAACACGGACCAAGGAGUCUAACAUGCCUGCGAGUGUUUGGGUGGUAAACCCGAGCGCGUAAUGAAAGUGAAAGUUGAGAUCCCUGUCGUGGGGAGCAUCGACGCCCGGACCAGAACUUUUGGGACGGAUCCGCGGUAGAGCAUGUAUGUUGGGACCCGAAAGAUGGUGAACUAUGCCUGAAUAGGGUGAAGCCAGAGGAAACUCUGGUGGAGGCUCGUAGCGAUUCUGACGUGCAAAUCGAUCGUCAAAUUUGGGUAUAGGGGCGAAAGACUAAUCGAACCAU
rnacentral:rRNA from 1 species